rnacentral:rRNA from 1 species
GGGGGGGGGGGGGGGGGGGGGGAGGGGGGGCGAGGCGGGGGGGGAGGCGCGAGGGUGCGGGGGGACACGAGUGGCGAACGGGUGGGUAACACGUGGGGGACCUGCCCUGCACUUCGGGAUAAGCCUGGGAAACUGGGUCUAAUACCGGAUAGGACCAUGGUGUGGAUACUGUGGUGGAAAGGUUUUUCGGUGUGGGAUGGGCCCGCGGCCUAUCAGCUUGUUGGUGGGGUAAUGGCCUACCAAGGCGGCGACGGGUAGCCGGCCUGAGAGGGUGGACGGCCACAUUGGGACUGAGACACGGCCCAGACUCCUACGGGAGGCAGCAGUGGGGAAUAUUGCACAAUGGGCGGAAGCCUGAUGCAGCGACGCCGCGUGGGGGAUGACGGCCUUCGGGUUGUAAACUCCUUUCACCAUCGACGAAGGGUUUCUGACGGUAGAUGGAGAAGAAGCACCGGCUAACUACGUG